GACGAACGCUGGCGGCGUGCUUAACACAUGCAAGUCGAACGGAAAGGCCCUGCUUGCAGGGUACUCGAGUGGCGAACGGGUGAGUAACACGUGGGUGAUCUGCCCUGCACUUCGGGAUAAGCCUGGGAAACUGGGUCUAAUACCGGAUAGGAGCCAUUUUUAGUGUGAUGGUUGGAAAGUUUUUUCGGUGUAGGAUGAGCUCGCGGCCUAUCAGCUUGUUGGUGGGGUAAUGGCCUACCAAGGCGGCUACGGGUAGCCGGCCUGAGAGGGUGGACGGCCACAUUGGGACUGAGAUACGGCCCAGACUCCUACGGGAGGCAGCAGUGGGGAAUAUUGCACAAUGGGCGCAAGCCUGAUGCAGCGACGCCGCGUGGGGGAUGACGGCCUUCGGGUUGUAAACUCCUUUCGCUAGGGACGAAGCUUUUUGUGACGGUACCUAGAUAAGAAGCACCGGCUAACUACGUG
rnacentral:rRNA from 1 species